rnacentral:rRNA from 1 species
AUUGAACGCUGGCGGCAUGCCUUACACAUGCAAGUCGAACGGCAGCACGGGUGCUUGCACCUGGUGGCGAGUGGCGAACGGGUGAGUAAUAUAUCGGAACGUACCUUAUCGUGGGGGAUAACGCAGCGAAAGCUGUGCUAAUACCGCAUAAGCCCUAAGGGGGAAAGCAGGGGACCGUAAGGCCUUGCGCGAUUAGAGCGGCCGAUACCUGAUUAGCUAGUUGGUGAGGUAAAGGCUCACCAAGGCAACGAUCAGUAGCUGGUCUGAGAGGACGAUCAGCCACACUGGGACUGAGACACGACACAGACUCCUACGGGAGGCAGCAGUGGGGAAUUUUGGACAAUGGGGGCAACCCUGAUCCAGCAAUGCCGCGUGAGUGAAGAAGGCCUUCGGGUUGUAAAGCUCUUUUGUCAGGGAAGAAACAGCAGCUCUAAUACAGUAUGCGAAUGACGGUACCUGAAGAAUAAGCACCGGCUAACUACGUGCCAGCAGCCGCCGUAA